UACGUAGGGGGCAAGCGUUGUCCGGAUUUAUUGGGCGUAAAGAGCGUGUAGGCGGCCACACAGGUCAGCUGUGAAAACUCGAGGCUCAACCUCGAGACGCCGGUGGAAACCAUCAGACUAGAGUCCGGAAGAGGAGAGUGGAAUUCCUGGUGUAGCGGUGAAAUGCGCAGAUAUCAGGAAGAACACCCGUGGCUAAGGCGGCUCUCUAGUACGGUACUGACGCUGAGACGCGAAAGCGUGGGGAGCGAACAGG
rnacentral:rRNA from 1 species